AAAUUGAAGAGUUUGAUCAUGGCUCAGAUUGAACGCUGGCGGCAGGCCUAACACAUGCAAGUCGAACGGUAGCACAGAGAGCUUGCUCUCGGGUGACGAGUGGCGGACGGGUGAGUAAUGUCUGGGAAACUGCCUGAUGGA
rnacentral:rRNA from 2 species